AUGGCCGGCUUCCCGGCGGCCGGCGGCUAUGACGCCAUGGCCGAAUCCGGCAACGAUGAGGACAAGGAGGCCAUGAAGAGCCUCUACGCCGGCGCGGCCCCCGUCCCCAUGGAGAAGGAGGAGGAGGUCGACAAGGGGCACGUCGUCACGGUGUUGAAAGUGGGGGAGGAGAGGGUGAUCGGGAAGGAGGGGCUGCGGAAGAGGCUGGUUAGGAAGGGGGAGGGGCCGCAACUCCCUGGCGCCGGCGACGAGGUCGAAGGUAACGCGCCCUCCUCGCUUGCUGCUUCUCCGGCUGCACUACACGGGGACCUGGCGGACGGCACCAAGUUCGACUCCAGCCGGGAUCGCGACGCCCCGUUCAGGUUCACCCUCGGCCAAGUCACUCAAGUGAGGAUGAUAAUUUGUUUCCCAUGCAUGACUCAUUCAAGUGACACAGCUAAAAUCAACCCCUGGCUUGUUACGUUCAUUGAUGACAGGCAAGGGUUCAUGCUCGGAAAUGACUACAUCUUGCUCCAUGUUGUCGGCUCAGCUAAAGUCAUUAAUCAUGAGGAGAUGGGACACGUCGAUUGUUAG
rnacentral:rRNA from 1 species